GUGUCAGCCGCCGCGGUAAUACGAAGGGGGCUAGCGUUGUUCGGAAUUACUGGGCGUAAAGGGCGCGUAGGCGGUCCUGAUCGUCGGAUGUGAAAGGCCUGGGCUCAACCUGGGAACUGCAUCCGAUACGGCGGGACUGGAGUGUGGGAGAGGUUGGUGGAAUUCCCAGUGUAGAGGUGAAAUUCGUAGAUAUUGGGAAGAACACCGGUGGCGAAGGCGGCCAACUGGACCACAACUGACGCUGAGGCGCGAAAGCGUGGGGAGCAAACAGGAUUAGAAACCCCAGUAGUCC
rnacentral:rRNA from 1 species